UACGUAGGGUGCGAGCGUUGUCCGGAUUUAUUGGGCGUAAAGAGCUCGUAGGCGGUUUGUCGCGUCGGCCGUGAAAUCUCCACGCUUAACGUGGAGCGUGCGGUCGAUACGGGCAGACUUGAGUUCGGUAGGGGAGACUGGAAUUCCUGGUGUAGCGGUGAAAUGCGCAGAUAUCAGGAGGAACACCGGCGGCGAAGGCGGGUCUCUGGGCUGAUACUGACGCUGAGGAGCGAAAGCGUGGGGAGCGAACAGG
rnacentral:rRNA from 1 species